rnacentral:lncRNA from 1 species
CAAGAUGUGGUACCAUAUAUACAAUGGAUAUUACUCAGCCAUUAAAAGGAAAGAAAUAACGGUAUUUGCAGCAACAUGGAUGGACCUAGAAAUUGUCAUGCUAAGUCAGACAGUGAGAUACCAACAUCAUAUGCUAUCAUUGACAUGUGGAAUCUUAAAAAAGGACACAAUGAACUUCUUUGCAGAACAGAUACUGACUCACAGACUUUGAAAAACUUAUGGCUUCCAAAUGAGACAGGUUAGGGGUGGGGGGAUGUGCUGAGGGUUUGGGAUGGAAAUGCUACAAAAUUGGCUGUGAUGAUUGUUGUACAACUAAAUGUAUUAAAAUUCAUUGAGUAAUUUAAAAAAGACAACCAUUAGAAAUAUGAAAAAAUUACCAUAAAAUGUUUAGUAUGAAAGAAAAUACAAUUCCUUAAGCAUCAAUGUGUUUCAAUGAUUAAACAUUAAGAGAGCAAAAUAAUUACAUUGGGUGAACUAGUAUCUAUAUCCAUCUUUCUAUUUGUACCACAUCUCUAUGUUUCUAUAAACCUUUUCAAUUCCACCUCCUUACUAAGCAUCUAUGAAAGAACUGGCCAUAUACCAGGCCUUGAGGAAAACUAAUAAAUUUCGAAAAGCAGAAAUUGCAGGGUUCAUAUUUCUGAUCACAAAGCAAAUAAUAACAGUAAUGAUUAUAAAUGCUUAAAAUACCCACUUCCUUGGAAAUUAAAACAAAAACUGUAAUAAGUUUUUGAGUCAAAGAGGAAAUCAGUACCAUAAUUACAGGCCAUUUAAAAAUUCAUGGCAGUGCAACAAUGCCUAUCAACUUGGAUGGAAUGUGGUUAAAGCAGAAGUGAGAGUUUAAAUGUGCACUUGUGCAUACUUACAUUUUUAAACAAGAAAGACUGUAAAUAAACAAACUUGCGUUUCAACUCAAGAAGUGUUCAAAUGCUCAACUCAGGAAAUCAGAACGUUCCCUUCUGGGCAAGGAGGCUUGGGGGGAGGUUUGGACUAGAAUUUACCUGCUUUCCCUAAUUGGUCUGUUGUGUCUGCAAAGGUGAGGAUGGAGCGUCACAGGUUGUCUAUAUAAAACCCUGUCCUUUAUGUUUGCCCAGCAAAACCCUAGCUUCCCCCCUACUUCUCCAUUCCAGUGGAGCUUUAUUUUGCCUUCCUUUCCUGCAUAUAUUCAUGUGUGACCUUCCCAUCUAGGGUGUGGUUAUUCGGAGGGGGCUCUCAGUCUGACUACUUGCCCAGUGUGAAUAUGCUCGCAUGCUGCAACAGCCUAGGAUUACAAUUAAGAGCAGAUGCCAACUCUUGGCCCAAUCAAUUCAAGAGGCACAUCUAGCCGAUGAGCCUUUUUUUUUAAUUGCUUUUUUAGGGCCUCACCACCGGCAUAUGGAGGUUUCCAGGCUAGGGGUCAAAUUGGAGCUACAGCUGCCAGCCUAGGCCACAGCCAUAGCAACACAGGAUAGGAGUCGCGUCCACGACCAACACCGCAGCUCAGCAGCUCACAGCAACACUGGAUCCUUAACCUGCUGAGCGAGGCCAGAGAUCAAACCCGCAACCUCAUAGUUCCUAGUUGGAUUCAUUUCUGCUGCGCCACAACGGGAACUCCUAGCCAAAGAGCCUUUAAGCUGACAGAUGGAUUUAAAGUUCAGGAGUUCCCAUCGUGGCUCAGCGGAAACGAAUCUGAUUAGCAUCCAUGAGGACGCAGGUCCAAUCCCUGGCCUCAUUCAGUGGGUUAAGGAUCUGGUGUUGCCGUGAGCUGUGGUGUAGGUUGCAGACAAGGCUUGGACCUAACAUUGCUGUGGCUAUGGUGUAGGCUAGAGGCUUCAGCUCCAAUUCGACCCCUAGCCUGGUAACCUCCAUAUGUUGCAGGCGUGACCUUAAAAAGACAAAUAAUAAUAAUAAUAGAGUUCAGUCAAGUGACUGAAUAAAAGACAAACAAAAAGUAGAUAUAUUUACCACAUUCUAUCAAUAUGCUUAAAGAUAUAGGGAGAAAAAUCGUAUUCAGGAAAGUUGCAAAAAUGAAACAAGACAGAAUAGAACAAAGAAAAACAUAGUAAUAAAUAUAAUAAACAAAAGGCCUCUACGCAGGGAAAUAUAAAACCUUACUCAGAAAAACAUGAACAAAAGAAUGGAGAGAGAGAAGAUAUUCCUUGAUUAGAAGACUAUUUAUUUUUAUCUUUUUUUUGGUGGGUGGGGGGCUGCACCUGUGGCAUAGGGAGGUUCCCAGGCUGGGGGUCAAAUCAGAGCUACAGCUGCUGGCCUACACCACAGCCACAGCAACUUGGGAUCUGAGCCAUGUCUGCAAACUACACUAUAGCUCAUGGCAACGCCGGGUCCUUAACCCACUGAGAGAGGCCAGGGAUCGAACCCGCAACCUCAUGGUUCCUAGUUGGAUUCGUUUCUGCUGCGCCACGACAGGAAUUCCAAGAAGACUAUGUAUUUUUAAAAUGUAAAUUGUUCUUAAGGCAUAUUUAAACAAAAUCCAAGAAAAAUAAAAUGGGUUUU